AAACCCUUCACUGUAUUCUUCCGGGUUCAUUCCCUAAACCCUUCACUGUAUUCUUCGGGUUCAUUCCCAAAUCCAUGCAUACAACCAUAGAGAAUUCUCUAUCAGAUACAGAGGUUCCAUACUCUGUAAUUCAUAUCUUCACAUUACCAUAACUUCAAAGUGUAGACUAGGGGUCAGGGGUCAGUCUGAUGGACCAGAUGACCCAGUAAUCUGCUCCCUGUAGCCACUCUCUCUCACACACACACAUGAUCAAACAUGUUUUUUCUUGUAUACGGAGUAUAUAAUGUGCAGUUAUAAUUAGUAUGCUCUGUUUAACAGGCUAAGCACCUUUUUGUACUUAUAUUUGUAUGUUGUUUUUUGAGGUGUGGUUUUCAUAUCAGCCAUUUUGGUUUUCCAACCUGCACACUGUUUUCAUGUGUUUUAUAUCUGCACUGUUUUGUCUUUAACAUGUUUUCUGACCUGUGAAUAAAUAAAACCUAAAACCUACUCCA